UCGGGAAUUUUGGGCAAUGGGCGAAAGCCUGACCCAGCAACGCCGCGUGAAGGAUGAAGUAUUUCGGUAUGUAAACUUCGAAAGAAUGGGAAGAAUAAAUGACGGUACUAUUUAUAAGGUCCGGCUAACUACGUGCCAGCAGCCGCGGUAAUACGUAGGGACCAAGCGUUGUUCGGAUUUACUGGGCGUAAAGGGCGCGUAGGCGGCAAUUCAAGUCAUCUGUGAAAUCUCCGGGCUUAACUCGGAACGGUCAGAUGAUACUGCUUUGCUAGAGUGCAGAAGGGGCAAUCGGAAUUCUUGGUGUAGCGGUGAAAUGCGUAGAUAUAGGAGGAACACCGAUGGCGAAGGCAGCCCCCUGGGUCAAGAUUGACGCUCAUGCACGAAAGCGUGGGGAGCAAACAGGAUUAGAUACCCACGUAGUCCCUGAGCGGGCUGGCAAGGCGCAU
rnacentral:rRNA from 1 species